ACUGCCCCUAGAGGCGUUGCAGAUGUGGCUGCUGUGUCACAUUUGUGUCAUUAGGUGGCAGAGAGCAGAGAGGCUGGUCUACGCUCAGCGUUCUGGCCUGUGAACGUCUGGAUGAUUGAUAGUCCGACAUG
ensembl:snoRNA